UCGUAUAGUGCGAUUGAUUUAGCGGCCGCCGUUCGCUCUUGUGCCAGCAGCCGCGAUAAUUCCAGCUCCAAUAGCGUAUAUUAAAGUUGUUGCGGUUAAAAAGCUCGUAGUUGAACCUUGGGCCUGGCUGGCCGGUCCGCCUCACCGCGUGCACUGUUCCGGCCGGGCCUUUCCCUCUGUGGAACCCCAUACCCUUCACUGGGCGUGGCGGGGAAACAGGACAUUUACUUUGAAAAAAUUAGAGUGCUCCAGGCAGGCCUAUGCUCGAAUACAUUAGCAUGGAAUAAUAAAAUAGGACGCGCGGUUCUAUUUUGUUGGUUUAUAGGACCGCCGUAAUGAUUAAUAGGGACAGUCGGGGGCAUCAGUAUUCAACUGUCAGAGGUGAAAUUCUUGGAUCAGUUGAAGACUAACUACUGCGAAAGCAUUUGCCAAGGAUGUUUUCAUUAAUCAGGAACGAAAGUCAGGGGAUCGAAGACGAUCAGAUACCGUCGUAGUCUUAACCAUAAACUAUGCCGACUAGGGAUCGGACGGUGUUAUUCAUGACCCGUUCGGCACCUUACGAGAAAUCAAAGUGCUUGGUCUCCACAAAAAAAAAAAAAACGCAAGGCUGAAACUUAAAGAAAUUUGACGGAAGGGCACCAGCCAGGGGUGGCAGCCUUGCUGUCUUAAUUUUGACUCAACACGGGGCAAACUCACCAGGUCCAGACACAAUAAAGGAUUGACAGAUUGAGAGCUCUUUUCUUUGAUUUUGGGGGGUGGUGGUGCAUCGCCCGGUCUUAGUUGGUGGGGGUGACUUGUCUGCUUAAUCAGCGAAUAACGAACGAGAACAUAAACCUGCUAAAUAGCCCGCAUUGCCUGCGGGCAGUGGCGCUGGCUUCUUAGAGGGACUUUCGGCUCAAGCGAGGUAGUUGAGCAUAACAGGUCUUGUGAUGCCUUAGAUGUUCUGGCCCGCACGCCCGGCCUACCACUUGACG
rnacentral:rRNA from 1 species